UACCCAAUAGCUAGCCCCACACCCCAAACCAAACAACCCCUGUUAAUAACCCCAAAACCAUUAAAUACUAAAUAAACAAACCAUUUUUCCACCUAAGUAUGGGCGACAGAAAAGGAACACAGGCGCCAUAGAAAAAGUACCGCAAGGGAAUGCUGAAAAAGAAAUGAAAUAGACCAGUAAAGUUGAAAAAAGCAGAGACUUACACUCGUACCUUUUGCAUCAUGAUUUAGUUAGUAAAGACCAAGCAAAGCGCACUUUAGUUUGAUACCCCGAAACUAAGUGAGCUACUCCAAGACAGUCUAAAAACAGGACUAACCCGUCUCUGUGGCAAAAGAGUGGGAUGAGCUUAGAGUAGAGGUGAUAGACCUACCGAACCUAGUUAUAGCUGGUUACCUGAGAAAUGAAUAGAAGUUCAGCCCCUUUAUUUCUCUACUCAAUGCUAACUUAUCUACCACUGACUUAGAGAAAUCAAGAUAGUUAAUUAAAGGGGGUACAGCCCCUUUAAAUAAGAUACAACUUAAUCAGACGGGUAAAGAUCAUAGUCACCAAAGCAAAAUGUUUCAGUAGGCUUGAAAGCAGCCACCUAUAAGGAAAGCGUUAAAGCUCCUUCAUUCUACCAUCUACAAAUUCAGAUAAUAAAUCUAACCCCACUAGUUUUAUCAGGUCGCCCCAUACAAUUAUGGGGGCGUUCAUGCUAAUAUGAGUAAUAAGAAAAGUCAGCUUUUCUCCUUGCAUACCUGUAAAUCGAAACGGACCCCCCACCGAAUAUUAUCGGCCCCAAAAAAAGAGGGUAAUGAACUAAAACCUUAAUAACAAGAAAAACCCCAAAAUAUUAACCGUUAACUCCACACUGAUGUGCUAAUAAGGAAAGACUAAAAGAUAAUAGAAGGAACUCGGCAAAUACAAGCCUCGCCUGUUUACCAAAAACACCGCCUCUUGCAAAUAAAAAUAUAAGAGGUCACGCCUGCCCUGUGACAAAAGUUUAACGGCCGCGGUAUUUUGACCGUGCAAAGGUAGCGCAAUCACUUGUCUUUUAAAUGAAGACCUGUAUGAAUGGCAUCACGAGGGCUUAACUGUCUCCUUUUUCCAGUCAAUGAAAUUGAUCUCCCCGUGCAGAAGCGGGGAUUCAACCAUAAGACGAGAAGACCCUAUGAAGCUUUAGACACAAGACAGAUCUUGUCAAACACUUCAACUUAAAGAAAUAAACUAAAAGAACCCUGCCCUAAUGUCUUUGGUUGGGGCGACCACGGGGAAAUAAAAAACCCCCACGCGGAUUAAGAGAACAUCUCUCACAACCAAGAGCCACAGCUCUAACUAACAGAACCUCUGACCUUAAGAUCCGGCAAUGCCGAUCAACGAACCGAGUUACUCUAGGGAUAACAGCGCAAUCCCCUUUUAGAGUUCAUAUCGACAAGGGGGUUUACGACCUCGAUGUUGGAUCAGGACAUCCUAAUGGUGCAGCAACUAUUAAGGGUUCGUUUGUUCAACGAUUAAAGUCCU
rnacentral:rRNA from 1 species